AAGGCGCUUUCGGGUGUCGCUGAUGGAUGGACCCGCGGUGCAUUAGCUAGUUGGUGAGGUAACGGCUCACCAAGGCCACGAUGCAUAGCCGACCUGAGAGGGUGAUCGGCCACAUUGGGACUGAGACACGGCCCAAACUCCUACGGGAGGCAGCAGUAGGGAAUCUUCGGCAAUGGACGAAAGUCUGACCGAGCAACGCCGCGUGAGUGAAGAAGGUUUUCGGAUCGUAAAACUCUGUUGUUAGAGAAGAACAAGGAUGAGAGUAACUGUUCAUCCCUUGACGGUAUCUAACCAGAAAGCCACGGCUAACUACGUGCCAGCAGCCGCGGUAAUACGUAGGUGGCAAGCGUUGUCCGGAUUUAUUGGGCGUAAAGCGAGCGCAGGCGGUUUCUUAAGUCUGAUGUGAAAGCCCCCGGCUCAACCGGGGAGGGUCAUUGGAAACUGGGAGACUUGAGUGCAGAAGAGGAGAGUGGAAUUCCAUGUGUAGCGGUGAAAUGCGUAGAUAUAUGGAGGAACACCAGUGGCGAAGGCGGCUCUCUGGUCUGUAACUGACGCUGAGGCUCGAAAGCGUGGGGAGCAAACAGGAUUAGAUACCCUGGUAGUCCACGCCGUAAACGAUGAGUGCUAAGUGUUGGAGGGUUUCCGCCCUUCAGUGCUGCAGCUAACGCAUUAAGCACUCCGCCUGGGGAGUACGACCGCAAGGUUGAAACUCAAAGGAAUUGACGGGGGCCCGCACAAGCGGUGGAGCAUGUGGUUUAAUUCGAAGCAACGCGAAGAACCUUACCAGGUCUUGACAUCCUUUGACCACUCUAGAGAUAGAGCUUCCCCUUCGGGGGCAAAGUGACAGGUGGUGCAUGGUUGUCGUCAGCUCGUGUCGUGAGAUGUUGGGUUAAGUCCCGCAACGAGCGCAACCCUUAUUGUUAGUUGCCAUCAUUCAGUUGGGCACUCUAGCAAGACUGCCGGUGACAAACCGGAGGAAGGUGGGGAUGACGUCAAAUCAUCAUGCCCCUUAUGACCUGGGCUACACACGUGCUACAAUGGGAAGUACAACGAGUUGCGAAGUCGCGAGGCUAAGCUAAUCUCUUAAAGCUUCUCUCAGUUCGGAUUGCAGGCUGCAACUCGCCUGCAUGAAGCCGGAAUCGCUAGUAAUCGCGGAUCAGCACGCCGCGGUGAAUACGUUCCCGGGCCUUGUACACACCGCCCGUCACACCACGAGAGUUUGUAACACCCGAAGUCGGUGAGGUAACCUUUUGGAGCCAGCCGCCUAAGGUGGGAUAGAUGAUUGGGGUGAAGUCGUAACAAGGUAGCCGUAUCGGAAGGUGCGGCUGGAUCACCUCCUUUCUAAGGAA
rnacentral:rRNA from 1 species